rnacentral:rRNA from 1 species
UUAAUGAGGCGAACCGGGGGAACUGAAACAUCUAAGUACCCCGAGGAAAAGAAAUCAACCGAGAUUCCCCCAGUAGCGGCGAGCGAACGGGGAGCAGCCCAGAGCCUGAAUCAGUAUGUGUGUUAGUGGAAGCGUCUGGAAAGGCGCGCGAUACAGGGUGACAGCCCCGUACACAAAAAUGCACAUAUUGUGAGCUCGAUGAGUAGGGCGGGACACGUGGUAUCCUGUCUG